AUUGAACGCUGGCGGCAUGCUUUACACAUGCAAGUCGAACGGUAACAGGCCGCAAGGUGCUGACGAGUGGCGAACGGGCGAGUAAUGCAUCGGAACGUGCCCAGUCGUGGGGGAUAACGCAGCGAAAGCUGCGCUAAUAUCGCAUAUGAUCUCUGGAUGAAAGCGGGGGACCGAAAGGCCUCGCGCGAUUCGAGCGGCCGAUGUCAGAUUAGGUAGUUGGUGGGGUAAAGGCCCACAAAGCCAACGAUCUGUAGCUGGUCUUAGAGGACGAACAGCCACACUGGGACUGAGACACGGCCCAGACUCCUACGGGAGGCAGCAGUGGGGAAUUUUGGACAAUGGGCGCAAGCCUGAUCCAGCAAUGCCGCGUGCAGGAAGAAGGCCUUCGGGUUGUAAACUGCUUUUGUACGGAACGAAACGGUCCGGGUUAAUACCCUGGGCUAAUGACGGUACCGUAAGAAUAAGCACCGGCUAACUACGUGCCAGCCGCCGCCGUAAGAC
rnacentral:rRNA from 1 species